rnacentral:sRNA from 1 species
CCACCAAUCAGCUCUGUUUCAAUGAUGUUGUCUUUGUUGUGUGUUGUUGUUUGACUUUUGUGUGUGUUGAGGCAAAGGGUUGAAACCGUAGGAUUUUACAAUAAUUUAAUAGGCUGCAAUAAUUUCGCUGCGAACGAAGUCAGUACUAGCAGAAUAUAUUCAUUUACAGGCAGUGGCAGUUGCCCAAUAACAAAGUAAAUUAAAAUAAAAUUUUAUUUUCUUUUCGAUCACAUAUGAAAAAAGUCUUACAACGAAUGGUUAUCAUGAACCAAUAUAGAACUAUUGUUGUCUUAUUCUAUCGCCUUGAAAUUGAUUAAAAUAAUAUGUUUAAUUACAUAACUGAGAGUGAGAAAAAUGCUCACGGCCAACUAUUUCGUCAAUAAAUUUGUAACAAAACAAAACCAUCUUAAAACUACAUAACAAAACAAAAUGUUCAAUAACAUAUGUGGUAGUUUUAUCAUAAAGCGAUUCUAUGAAUGUGUGUAGAUAUGUAUAUGUGUAAAUCACGUACAAUGUAUUGUAUAAUUCUAUAGUACAAGAAUGUAUGUAGUAUGUAUGUAUGUAUAUCACAGUUUGCUGAUUAAUAUAAAAGUAAAUACUAAACGAAAGUACAGACAUUGUCUUCAUAAAAAAUUGUGGUAUAAUGUAUUGGAUUGGAUCAUUGUCGAAGUUUUCGUUAAGUAUUCCAAAUAAAUAAAAAAAUACAUGCUGACCCAGGCCAAGAAUUGUUUUUCUCAGACUCAUUUAUUUCGUUUAUUAAAGCGUUUUCGUGCAUUUCAAGUUUUUCAACAAACUUUUUUGUGGCAUAUUGCGUACGUGCAAAGAGGCAUAACAGCGGAUGUAUUAUAAACGACUUUACGCUCUUAAAUGUACAACUCUUUGGCUAUUGUAUAUUCAGUCUUACAUGUGAAUUGAAUUUCAUCAAUUUGGCAUCAAGGUUAUGCCAAAGUACUUGAUUUCAGAUUUGAAUGGGAUUUCAACACUCUCAACAUCAACAUUUAAAUCAAUCAGUUUAUAGAUAAUUGAUUUGUGACAGACCGAAUCAAAUGCUUUUUCGAUUUCCAAGGAAAUAGCCACAGUACAGAUUUGAUGUUAUGUCACUGUGAUAUUUCAAAAGGGCAUGUUGGGUGGAAUGUUCCUUUUUAAAGCCAAAUUGAAAAUCAGAAAUAGGGUUAAUAAUGAAUUCAUUUUCAAUUUUUUCCUUUAGGACAAGCUCAAAAACUUUCCCGACAUUUGAUAACAGUGAGACUGGACGAAAAUCACCAGGAAUAUCGCUAUUUGCCUUUUUUAAUUGAGAUUAUGUUGGUUAAUUUCUAAACAGCCGGAAAAUAUCCAUUAUUUAUACAAUUGCUGUAUAUACAGAAUUAGUGAACCUAAUCAGUACCUGUCAGGAUUUCCACUGGAGUUGAAAUUCAGCUAUUUCGCAUUCACCAGUGAUGGUUUUAUUAUUCACUUUCAACUGCUGACAGAAAGACGAUUUUCUUUUACCUGCUAUGGAAUAGAUUUCUUUGAAUGCAGAUGGACCAGGAUUGAUUUUUGAUAAUCUGUCAUUAAACUGUUUAGCUUGUCUAGAGCUAAUGUUUCCUUUAUGAUAGUUUUUAACAGCUGGAUUUGUUUAGAUAAAAUUAUAUAUUUACUAUUUCCAUCUCUAUGAAAUGUUCUUUUCAGAUCCUUUUGCCAUUGAUGUUUGAGUUUGAAUAGGUUUUUGGCCUUCUCGGAAAACGCGAAUUUAUGUCCAUUGGUAUGAAUCUUCUGAGAAUUAAAGUCAUAGAUUGUGCCAAGGACCACAUUAAAAUCCUCAAUCAAGGAAUUUAGCUCAUUGUUGGACAGAUUCGCUGUUAAGGAUGCUUCAAAAACUGUUUCAGUCUGUAUUUUUAUAUGAAGUGAAGGGAAGUAAUCCGAGAAUGAUGGCAGGAGGAAAUCUCAGCAUUUUGGAGAAAAUUGUCGAUCAGAUUUGAGUUUAGGAGAUAAUGGUCGAGGAACGAUGAGCCGUUUGGAUAUGACGGGUAAACAUCGCAAAGCCGGGUAGUAUUCAAUGGAUUUUCGUUAAGCCAACUCAGUAGAGUUUCGAAUUCGAGAACCCAAGAUUGGGUUCUCGAACUUAUCUAAAUCAGAUUCCAAUCUCAAGGAAGUAAGUUGAACGUUUCAAAAAUCUUCUACAAAAGAUGGGUCUGUCUUCGAUAGGUUUCAACAUACUGGCAAAAGAUUUACCUGCCUUGGCAGAUCGUCGCUGCCUUGCAGCAACAUUUUUCUUAUAAAUUGGACACCCUUUCCAAUUCGCUGGAUGACCCGAUUCACCACAGUUCUUGCAGAACGGAUCGGAAGUAUUCUCUCGAGUUCUUUGGCAUUGGCCUGGAUCAUGAUCUUGCGCACAUUUUACGCAAUUAUAUGCAGAAUAGCAGUUGCGGGAAAUGUGACCCCAACGUUUGCACCUGUGACACUGAAUGUCACUACUUUUUCGCUUAGGCUUCUCGCAAGAGAUAAUUUAGUGUUCAAUUCCUCGGAUAUGAGAUAUAUCUCAAAUUUCUUUUCCCGGGACGCAACGUCAACAAGAAAAGGCAAGUGUCAAAAUUGUUUUUAGUUGAAGAUGGCGUUUUGAAUUUAGCUACUUCUGCAACACUUUCUGGUACAAGUCUGUCCAACUCAGACUUGAUACCAGUAAUGUCAGAAUCUGCAUACAGAUCUCGAAGCACCAGAGACACUCGUUUCAACUCUUUUGGAGUAAACGUUCUCUUGGCUAUCCAAAGAGCCAUCAUUGAAGUAUCCACCGCCGGGUCUGCGAAGUACAACUUAAUUUUGUUUUUAUUAAUAUUCUUGACUUUGAAUGUAAAAUCAGGAAAAGUAGUCUUCAUUCUGUCUACAAGUGUUUUUAUGUUAACAUUGUAAACAAAUAUAGGGGGGCACCAUUUCGUCUAUGCAAAAAGGGUUACAUCCUUGUUGGUCGGUGCCGCGAUUUCAACCAAAAAAAUAAUAAAAUUGUUUUACAAAAUCUGCGAUAAAAACAAUA